UUCAAACCUUAAUUGAGAUAGUGUUUUGGCAUAAAAAAUGGCUAUUGCAGGCCGAUACUAAUUCAGGGGGAGAUUCCUAAUCGACGCAAAUAAGCCUCUCCACCAAAUCUCUCUUACUCUCUGUCACACUCUUUAUCACUCUCUGCUAUCGUAGAUCGGAGAAUCUCCUCUGAGAGCUCUAAUCUCUCAGUAAUCUUCACCGCGUGUCCGGAUCUAAUUUUCCUAAUUUUCCCCGAAGAAUCUAAUUUUCCUAAUUUUCCAUUAUGUGGAGGAGAAUCGUUUCAUCGCAUCUUAAAUCCAUCUCCGCCGUCAGGUCCUGCGCGGCUCCGUCAGAUUUGAUUUUCGAUAUAGCCUUUAGCUAUCAGUGUUACAAUCAAUUAUCACUGUGAGAAUUAACAACCAUCGACAUCGAUAUUGUGAGAUAAUUUCACUCGGCGAAGGUAACUUCCUUUUCUCAUAUGUAAAUAUCAACUGUCGAUUUAUUAGAAGGGAACCAAAUCAAAACAAAACAUUUCUAACCGGUUAAGUAAAUUUUUGGUUUAGAUGAGUGGGGAUAUAAUUGUCCAUUUAUUUUUCAAAAACAAGGAAAAGUGCCUUGUACGUGAGAAGUGCCUCAAAAGGAAUAAAAGUUUGUAGAAGUGCCUAAACAUGUCCAAUUCCCAUAAUUUAUUUUGAUUGAUUGGGUUAAUUGGAGAAGACGUGUUGGUUAGAGAGAAUUGGUUAAAAGUGUUGGGGUUGACAAAUAUGACGUCAAUAAAACAAGUACAGCGGUGAGAAGUGAGGAUUGAGGAUUUUAGGUUGCUCGAAACUUUUGUCGAUUGUGUUAUUAAAACGAGGGACAAAACCGUCUUAUCCCUUGCCAAUAUAUGCCCAUUUCCAUUAGUUCAUUCUUUUUUUUUUUUUUUUUUUUCCAGAAACUCAUUUUAAAAGUUCCUCUUCUCUAAUUAUUGAGAGAAAAUGUCUCUAUUCUUACAUAAGUCCCUAUA
rnacentral:sRNA from 1 species